CUAAGGACCUUUCAGCUCAUUCUGUUGUGUAAUAUACGCAGUUUUCAAAACUAUGCAGGCUUGAAGCACGAGUGCGUUGCCAAUAUAUCAACUCCGCCACUCCUGAUCUGGUUGAAUCUUUAGAGAAUACUAUUAGUUUCAGAUACAUGUUGUAAAUAGAAGAGUAGAAAGCAAAAUGGCGUGACUGAUUAUUCCCGAUUUGAAUGAAA